rnacentral:rRNA from 1 species
GGGCGCAAGCCUGAUGCAGCCAUGCCGCGUGUAUGAAGAAGGCCUUCGGGUUGUAAAGGUACUUUUCUAGCAGUUGAGGAAGGUGGGUAUCGUUAAUAGCAUACUCAUUUCGACGUUUAGCUGCAGAAGAAGCACCGGCUAACUUCCGUGCCAGCAGCCGCGGUAAUACGGAGGGUGCGAGCGUUUAAUCGGAAUUUACUGGGCGUAAAGCGCAUGCAGGUGGUUUGUUAAGUCAGAUGUGAAAGCCCGGGGCUCAACCUCGGAAUUGCAUUUGAAACUGGCAAACUAGAGUACUGUAGAGGGGGUAGAAUUUCAGGUGUAGCGGUGAAAUGCGUAGAGAUCUGAAGGAAUACCGGUGGCGAAGGCGGCCCCCCUGGACAGAUACUGACACUCAGAUGCGAAAGCGUGGGGAGCAAACAGGAUUAGAUACCCUGGUAG